AGCGAACGCUGGCGGCAGGCCUAACACAUGCAAGUCGAACGAACUCUUCGGAGUUAGUGGCGGACGGGUGAGUAACACGUGGGAACGUGCCUUUAGGUUCGGAAUAACUCAGGGGAACUUGUGCUAAUACCGAAUGUGCCCUUCGGGGGAAAGAUUUAUCGCCUUUAGAGCGGCCCGCGUCUGAUUAGCUAGUUGGUUAGGUAAAGGCUCACCAAGGCGACGAUCAGUAGCUGGUCUGAGAGGAUGAUCAGCCACAUUGGGACUGAGACACGGCCCAAACUCCUACGGGAGGCAGCAGUGGGGAAUCUUGCGCAAUGGGCGAAAGCCUGACGCAGCCAUGCCGCGUGAAUGAUGAAGGUCUUAGGAUUGUAAAAUUCUUUCACCGGGGACGAUAAUGACGGUACCCGGAGAAGAAGCCCCGGCUAACUUCGUG
rnacentral:rRNA from 1 species